AGUUAAAAAGCUCGUAGUUGGAUUUCUGUGGGGGCGGAGCGGCCGGCCGCAACUUGCGGUUCGAGCUAGCGCUUCCCCUACAUCCUGCCGCGAACCGUGCUACCAUUAGUUUGGUGGCGCCGGGGAUCGGCUCGUUUACUUUGAGAAAAAUAGAGUGUUCAAAGCAGGCCACACGCCUUGAAUAAGUUAGCAUGGAAUAAUAAUAAAGGACUUCGGUUCUAUUUUGUUGGUGUUCGGGACUGAAGUAAUGAUUGAUAGGGACAGUUGGGGCGGUCAGUAUUCCAAAGCGAGAGGUGAAAUUCUUAGACCUUCGGAAGACUAACAGCUGCGAAAGCGUUCCGCAAGGAUGUACCCUUUGAUCAAGAACGAAAGUUGGGGGAUCGAAGACGAUCAGAUACCGUCGUAGUCUCAACUAUAAACUAUACCAGCUAGGGAUCGGCCAACGUUAAAUUAUCCGACUUGGUCGGCACCUUAUGAGAAAUCAAAGCAUCUGGGUUCCGGGGGGAGUAUGGUCGCAAGGCUGAAACUUAAAGGAAUUGACGGAAGGGCACCACCAGCCGUGGAGCCUGUGGCUUAAUUUGACUCAACACGGGAAAACUUACCAGGUCCAGACAUAGUAAGGAUUGACAGAU
rnacentral:rRNA from 1 species